rnacentral:tRNA from 2 species
GCGGGUGUUGUAUAAUGGCUAUUACAUCUGCCUUCCAAGCAGAAGAUUGGGGUUCGAUUCCCCGCACCCGCA